UCCGCCUCCGCCUCCGCCUCCAGUGAAUAUCGAUGCAGAGCUUUACAAAAACCCUAACAACCAAACCCUAUCAUUUUCGUAAGUUCGAAUCCAAAAACUCUCACCUUCCCAUCGCGAGAACCAAAUCCACUGAAACUCCAAUCAAAGCGAAACUGGAAGAACUGAUUUACCUAGAAGUUGUUUCUCAUCUCCUCCAAAUCAAACAAACAAACGACCUUAAGAUUCAUAAGAGAAGCCCAAACUUGAACAACUAAACAGGAAGAAUAGAUGAUACCCUAACUUCUAUAUUCAAUUGGGUUCCUAUUCUUCCUUCACGAAGUCAAUUUUCAUCCGUGUUGUUGAUUCAGCGUGUGAAUGCCAGUGGUCAAAUGGGUUGGUUCUUGCGUGUCCAUUCAAAAAGCUCUUCUGGAAAUAUUUUCUUUUGGAGCUAUAAAGAAGUUCUGAAUAUAUCUCGGCCUUGUGCCCACUAGCCGUUGAAGAAUGACCUUGUGCACCAUUGUCGGUUGAUACUUUUCAUGGACAACAAGGGUACUUCUGGGGUUCCGAAACCAUCCCCGAUCACAACAUUAGAUGCUCAACAGGCUGAAGCUAAAUGUUCUUCUUGCAAGAAUCAUAUGCGCUAGAGAGAUGGUACUAAUCCAAAACAUUGGAGAUUGAAGCUGUUAUCCGUCGAUGGUUCUCAGUCUGGUGCCAAGUGGACUACCAAUCUUGUAAUAGUUGAUUGUAAAUUUUCUUCAAGUCUUUGCCAGUUAUAUUCUUAUAAGUUUGUUGAUGGGUCUUGUAACCUUAUGGUCCUUGACGAAUGGUCGUCCUCCUGGCAUUUUGCUCAUGUUAAAGGAGCAUGAGGCCUGUCAUGUAAAUCUUUACUACACUUUAUUAUUCAAAUAAUAAUAAUAUGCUUCCAUGUAUUAAAA